UUUCACAGGGGUGGGGGGGUAAGUUACUCUUCAAAUAACACGUGCUGCUGCUGCUGCUGGCCUAACAUUGCGUGAAUGCAUGCCGAUAAGCAGGUGAGUCACACAUGAACCCUUCUGUCAAUCUUCACUUUGCGUCUGGCUUUGUAGGCAGCGACUCACUCUUCAUCUAUCUCUCUGCCACGCAGCGUCUGUAAUCCUCUGGCACUGCACCCACGCAUCGGGAUAAAAAAAAUACGGUCCACAGUGGUUAUUUAGAUAAGUGCUAAUUUCCUCAAAGUGCACAUCUCUUUCUUUUCCUCCUCAAAUGCGUCUUUAUUUACUUUUUUUUUUACAGAUCUGCCUCCUUUUGCACAGAGAUUUACUUAAAGCAGAGCUUUUUUUUCCAAUGAAGAAUAACAAUAUGUGAAUAUGUUUAUUCUAUAAGGUUUUUUUCAGCAUUUCUUAUAUUUAAGCUUUGGAUUAAUAUUCUAUAACACAUGGUUUCCUGUUUUCUUGUUGAUGCUUGUUACCAUGAGAUCAUCUCUUUCUUCCUCCCUUCAGGGCCAGUUGUGAGUAAUUAAUUAACCCAUAUCACAGCCUAGUUAACUGCAUGGCAUUCACAAGUUGAGUCUGGGGAUCCCGCUUCACACGCUGCCUAUACCGGUGGAAUCUCCCCAGGCCCAAGGCAUAAACAGGCCACACUUGCUGGCAAAUGAAGACAAAAACCAUUCCUCACUGACCAAGAGAAACAGGAAACCUCACAGCACCUGCCUGAGGAAGUGAAAUGAAAGCUGCCUUUAAARCGAGCCAAGAACUCCGCUGCUGCCUCACAUUUUGCACCUGCGAGUGCUUGGCAGAGAGAAGCCUCCUGGUUGUUGGGUGAAGGAAAGCACUCAAUGCAAUACUGUGAAAGGAGCCAGUCACAGAAAAAAAAUAAGUCGUCUAACUCUUGUUUAACAAUUACAAACCCCUAAAAUACUUGGAAUACACAAAGAUAGAGCUGGGGUUCAGUGCUGGUGAUUUAAACUGAAGUUUAGGGGAGAUGAAGCACGUGAAGGUCUCCUGCCAUUUUUUUAUGACUAACAUAGGCUACUUUGUGGCUUAAUUCAAGUCUUUAAGAAAUGUUCUCAGAAGAAACACACAGAGAGCUGAGGAUGCAGUGUGUAAGCAGGGAGGGUAGCAAAAAAAAAAAA